AGGCCUUGACAUCCGCAUGGCGGCGCCUUAACCGGCGCCUUCCUUCGGGACAUGCGGGACAGGUGGUGCAUGGUUGUCGUCAGCUCGUGUCGUGAGAUGUUGGGUUAAGUCCCGCAACGAGCGCAACCCCUGUCCACAGUAGCCAGCACGCAGCGGUGGGCACUCUGUGGAGACUGCCGGGGACAACCCGGAGGAAGGCGGGGAUGACGUCAAAUCAUCAUGCCCCUUAUGGUCUGGGCUACACACGUGCUACAAUGGCUGCCACAAAGUGAAGCGAACCCGCGAGGGGGAGCGAACCAGGAAAAAGCAGUCCCAGUUCGGAUUGUAGUCUGCAACCCGACUACAUGAAGCUGGAAUCGCUAGUAAUCGCGGAUCAGAAUGCCGCGGUGAAUACGUUCCCGGGUC
rnacentral:rRNA from 1 species